AUAUUACUCCCUCCGUCCGAAAAUACUUGUCCGAGGAAUGGAUGUAUCUAGAUGUAUUUUGGUUCUAGAUACAUCCAUUUCUAUCAUAUUUGCGACAAGUAAUUCCGGACGGAGGGAGUAUUUA
rfam:Hordeum vulgare subsp. vulgare, WGS project CAJW01000000 data, contig: morex_contig_135747